ensembl:lncRNA
UCUCACUGGAGAUCCCUGCCUCCCAGAGGUCUUCUGAGGUCUGGAUGAGUCCCAUGUGCAGUCCUGGCCAUUCCCAAAUGCUGGAUAUGCAGCUCGUGGAUCUGUGUCAUGCUAUAAUGUGCUGGGACAUGCUUUCAAGGAAAAUGCACAGACGUGAAGGUGACCAGCUGUUGGUUGAGUAGUGCAGAGACCUUUGGAGAACCAUACGUGUUCAGCUGGGGAUGAAGGGCUAAAUUCAGACCAUUUGUGCUCUUGGCAUGAUACUCACCCUCAUCAGCGCUGUGUUUGCUUUAGAAGUCUGACUUAGCUGGCAUGUCUCCGUCAUUGGCUAAUGAGGAUUAAUUCUGAUUCUCUUCAGGCUUCAGAGAAACAGAUUGUGGAGGGGCUUUCAUCACAGGGGGAAUUAAAGAAGCUAGCAAAGUAUCUUAACCCAAACCACGCCACUGAUGGCUUUCAGUCAGAAAGGAGGACAGAUGAGAUUAACCUCAAAACCCCUCUGCUUCCUUGUGGGGACUAUAAACCUCAGUGCCAAGUGAGAGAAGAAUGCAGGAAAAGAAUCGUUUUAAUGUGGAUGUGUAAGAAACUGGACCACCAAGUCCAUUCCACAUUGGCCACUGAGCAGUCAUCAGAGGGUGUUGACUUUUGACCACUACUGUUUUUGUUAACAAGGAAAAUAAAACCAUAUGUUGCCUAAGUAGAUGCACAAAACUUUUCUCCAAAUCCCUACAGACAAACUGUCAGCAGCAAAAGUAUUUACUUUGGUAAUGCAGCUGGGCUUAAUCCCAGCCCCAUUGUGUUUGUGCAUGCCUUUUCACCACUGAGCUCAAUAACACGCUGCUUGUGAAGAGGGUGAAUGAAUGCCUGCAGUAUGAUUUCUGUUAUUAGGCCUAUCGGUUACAUCCCGAGACAAAAGGCUGGAAUCAACAAUGGUAGCACUACAUAGGCACUGCUCAUGCUUUGAGUUAGGCUAAGUGGAAAUCUUAGUCAUCAGUCACAUCAACUAGCCAUCAGCUUGAGGUAGGCCAGCGGGACUUGGCCCAGUGGUGCGGAUCCUCAGCUGGCUUAAAUCAGCGUAAAGCUAGUGUAGUCCACAGAGCCCCAGCUGAGGAUUCUGGCGCCUACUGUCUAUUUGUGAGCUUAGUGGUUGCUGAAUACUUAAUUCACUGGGCUGCAAGCUGCUGCGGCUGAGCAGCUGGGGGUAGCAUAGCCUGGUGGGGUCCCCAGCUGGGAUCUCUGCAGGUAUAGACAUCAUCUGGGGUCAGGUUCAGAGUGACAGGACCACCACACGCUGCUCCUCCUCUCCUUCCCGUUUCCCUGGUAUUCCCACGUUGAAUAAGCUGGUUAGGACAUUGCAGGUGGUUGAGAGCAAGAGUGGUAGUUGGAUAGAAAGGUCUGUGGAUUGGGUGUGAAUGCCAAGUAUAUCUGUAAUUGUGUAUUUCUGAGAAUGAUUUGGUAAUGGAGGUGGCAGUGAGGAAUGCCCUACAGCUCUGACCUCAGGUCAGUUACUCUGUGAUGGACUUUCCAUGGAAGAUGUGUCCAAAAAUAGCUGUUUUCUGUGAUAAACUAACGUGCAGGGAAUAUGUUGCGUGUGUUCCUGAAGUGAUUUUUCUGUUAUAUGCAUUAAAACAGGGCCAUCACUGACUGUUUGAGGUCAUCCAUGGCUUGGGGGCUGGCUGAUGUGGGUCUGUGUGUAGUGCGCUGUUGCGCUGUUGUGAUACCCAAUCUAAACAAAUGUGUCUGUGCAUUGGCUUGGCAUGAUUCUCUCCCAGAAAAGAAAUAACUAUUCACUUCACGCUUUGCUGGGACAAGAGGCUCCUUUCUGUGAUAACAAACUCCUUUUCCUGGUUAGAGCAGGGCAAAGAAGAUUGAUCCACCCCAUUGGCAGUAGUGAGAUGGCAAGAGAAAUACAUAGGUGAGAGUUAUAGAAUCCUAGAAACAUAGAAUCCUUAAGGUUGGAAAAGACUGCUGAGAUCAUCUAGUCCAACCAUCAACCCAUCCCCACCAUGCCCACUUAACCAUGUCCCUCAGUGCUACAUCUCCGUGUUUCUUGAGCACCUCCAGGGACAGUGACUCCACCACCUCACUGGGUAGCCUGUGCCAAUGGCUGACCACUCUUUCUGGGAAGAAAAUCCUCCUAAUAAAUAUCCAGCCUGAUGAAGGUGGGGAAAGACCUGGAGGAACUGGGAUGAAUGGAAGCUUUCUGUGCAAGGCUUGGAGCUGCACAGUUGUGAUCUGUCUGUAAUUUGUGGGAAUGAGACAGGAAUGGUCAUAGUGCUUCAUACCUAAUCUAUCUCAUUUGCAUCUCUCCAAGAGCCUUCAUCAAGCCCUCAGCGUGACUUAUUCUCAAGCACGGAGUUACUCUGGAUACGUAUUUUGACAUAGGCAUAUCCAGAACAGAAAGUCUGUGGACAGAUGUGCCUGCUGCUGUCAAUGCAGGCAUCUGUAAGUGAGGUCUUUGCCUGGUGCUGACACUGCCUUCGUGGCAGUGUGUGCCAGACUCAGCUUUCUGUAGUGCUGUAGGACGUGGAGGACCUGGAGGCAGUGUGCUGUCAGCGUGCCCCAGUCCCCAUUGUGCUCUGCUGGUGACCCAACACGAUUCUCACCCUAUUGAAUAGCAACAGAAGGA